GCCGCUUGGCGGACUACGACUCCCAGCGGGCGCCGUGGCCGAGUGGGGUGGUGGGGGUGUGGUGCAUGCUGGGAGUUUUGCCGCCCCGCGCCGCGGGUUGUGUGAUGUAUUUCCUGGUUUAACCUUGUUUCCAAACGAAGCACCUGAAACACGGGCGGGGCGAUGCAGAAAUGAGGCAAAAUGCCAGAGUUGCAAGUUUCAAGGCGCCACCGCUCUCGGGCUGGCGGUAGAAGCGCUCCAUGCAAGGAAACUUGGGAUGCCGCCCUGCACAGCCGUGCAUUAGCAGAGCCGUGACUUUAUGCGGGACCGGUAACGAGGUACGUUUUGUACCUCGUUAGGGGAGAAAAACCCCGCAGAUACACCUGCUGGGCGGUGGCUAACAUAGCUCCCCGGGGAGCCUUUGUGUGCACCAAGUAUUCCUGAGGAAAGAAAGGCCGGAUUUCCGGGGCUCAGUUAAUUCAAUCACAGACUUCCUUUUAUAUCGUUGCACAACCUGCCCGCUCGGUUUGAAAGAUGGCAAAUGAGCCCCCCCCAGCACUGAGCGGAGGAAUAGUUCAAGGUGAAACUAGUUCCAUUGGAAAACACGGUGGGGGUUCACCACUGUAGGCAAACACCAUAAGAACAGAAAUGCGAAACCGAUUGCGAUUGCCCUAAGGCUGCGGGCACCAACCCAGGUAUGGAGACUUUCAGCACCGGGGACUGGGGUUGUGACGGAGGAGGAGGUGGAAAAGGAAGACGAGGAGGCAGCAGCAGCCCCUCCUGAGGGUGAAACCAUGAUCAUGUCUCAGCUGUACACAGACCACUCCCUGCUCCUUGACGACCAUGACUGGCAGGAAGAACCGUCGGUCACCAUACGCUUAGUGCCGCUUUGUCCUUCCGUUCCACGGACUAGCGCAGAUGAUGAAGCAGAGGAGGUAGAGGGUCAAGAAGAAUCCCAUGCAGCCAAUACAUCAUCUACUUCUUCCAAGACCCAAGAACAUGCUGGACCUGCUAGCACAGGGAGUGUCAGCCAUGGACCUGUUUCCAAAUUUUUAGAUCCCCUUCCGCUGCUAGCUGCAGGCUGAUCACUCCAGGUUGGUGUGACAAGAGGCAGAAAGAGAAAGGAAGAAAGAGAAGACAAAGAGGAUGACAACACUUCCUUCAGGAUUCUCUCAACAACUGAACUAUUAUGCAUUAUAAUUAUAGUUGACUUUCAUCCUACAGACUUAUAUAGACUUAUAAUAACAGAUAAUACUAAUACUGUAAUAGGGGUUAGGAGUCAAUAAUACAAUUAAUUCCAAUAGUAAUAUAUUAAUAAAAGUUUGUAAUAAUAUUAAUAAUGAUUUGUUAAUGGUCAAUAAUAAUUGUAAUGGUUCAAUUCUUUAUCACAGCAUUUCAAAGCAGGUAGAUCUGCCUUAUCACUCCCCACUCCCCAAACUGCCUCUUGCAGCACACAUACCAUGCAUCCUGGGCACACAUAUCCUGGUCCUCCAUUAUAUAUAUAGCCGGUAUAUGAUAUAGGCUUAUAAUUACAGUUCAAUUCCUUAUGAUGAGAAAACAAAUACUGAGCAUAAAGGCAGGUGAUUAUGUGCCCUCCCUCCCUGCCUCUUUCCCCAUGGUGGGCGGUGGGGGGUGUGAUUGCCCACCUCUUGGUUACUGGCCAUAAUAAUGAGCAAGCUCUUCCCUAGUUCCCUCUAUUCCUGUGGCUGGGCCUUCUGGCUUGGGGAAAAAGUACCUCUUUUCUGAAAAGUACCCUAAUUCUGAACCUGACACCACACAAGGAAGAGGGCAAGGCUUUCUUCUCGCCCUCCUCCUUGGUUGCUGGCCCACAAAUGCAACUGAGGCUAUUUUCAAUAGGACACUAUUCAGUAUAAAGUGUAUCGUUGAAGGGACUCGUGUUCAUUAUGUGACAGUCACCUCACUAGCCUACUAUCAAGUGACUGUUGCUGUAAAUAAGCAUGUAAAGAAAUGCAUAAUAACUAUGUAAUGAAUGAGUACUAAAGUAACUACGUAAAUGAUUAAGUACUUAAGAAUUAUUAAUUGCCUUUACACACUGUAAUAUUUGAAUUGUUGACGGCCACUAGUACUGCUAGGGAUUCUCUUCUAUGUACUUGAAUUGUUGCACAAGUUCUUCAGGUCCAUUUCAUAUUAUUCUCACCCUACUCCUGGUUGCUGGCCACAAGUACUGCUGAGGCUUUUCAUCCGUCUACUACUUGAAUUGCAGAGGCUUUCUUCACAGGCUUUGACCAGAGCAUCAGCUCGAGUAUGGUAAGAGUUGCACAAGUUCUGCAGAUCCAUUUCAUAUUAUUCUCGCCCUCCUCCUGGUUGCUGGCCAUGUUUGCUAAUGAGCGUAUUAUGGAAUUGUAAUUUGAGAAUUGUUGCUGGCCACAAAUGUGGAGGCUUUCUUGGUUGCUAGCCAAGCCUUCCUGCUUUCUUUGCUAGCUUUGGCCCGAGCAUCAGCUGGAUGAUGGUAGUUGUUGUUGAAUACAUGUCUUCUGACUGAGGUAAAUACAGAAAACAUGUCUUCUGACUGGGGAAAAGCUUCUUGCUGAGAAAAACCCUCCUGCCUCAGCACAAGUUGCACAAGUUCUGCAGGCCCAUUUCAUUCUUUGCUGCAGCUGUGCUUGGGAGCUAUGACCACUGCAGUGUCAUAGGGCUGGGGGUACAGGUUGGGCCUUCCUUAUCACCCUCUCCUUGAGUUUCUUUUCUGAAUUGCAGAGGCCUUCUUGGUUGCUGGCCAAACCCUCCUGCAAAUUCCCUCCUGGGGUCCAAGUAGUAGGCCCAUGCCUGUGGCCUCUUCACCCCACUAACCCACCUCUGCCUUUCUUACACUUCUCCCUUACACCUUGUAACUUCCAAAUUGUUGCUGGCUACAAAUGCAACUGAGGCUUGAGUUUCUUCUCUGAAUUGCAGAGACUUUCUUGGUUGCUGGCCAAGCCCUCCUGCAAGUUCCCUCCCGGGGUCCGGGUAGUAGGCCUAUGCCUGUGGGCUCCUUGCCCCACUCACACACCAACCCACCACUCUGUCUCCUUGAGGCUUCUGUCUCUUUGAGUUUCUUCUCUGACUUGCGGAAGGAAGAUUUUAAAUAAAUAAGGAUAACAGAAAGUAGUGUAACCGAAGGGGAGAUUAUCCUCCCCAGCACCUUUACAAUAUAAAAUAUUGUAAAACCUCUAUAAAACUAUACUAUAGGCAUCUGCCUGCCUGCCUCCCUCCCUCUCCUGCUCCAUCUAUCCAUCCUUCCCUCCCUCCCUAAGCUUUGGGGCCAGCAAAAAUUCGAAAGUUACUACGUAGCGGAUAUUAGCUUGGCCCAACUCAGCCAGGCAGCUGAGUUGGGCCAUGCAUCUUCAUCUGAGGAGGCCCCUUUGGGACCAUGCCUGCCUGCCCCCCCUUUACCUAGCCAUCUUCCUGCUGGGACAUGUUCAGUAACCAGUAAGGGGGCUGCCUCCCUCCCUCUCCCCCUCCAUUCCUCCCUCUCUAAGCUUUGUGGCCAGCAACAAUUUGAAAAUUACUAUCUGUAACAGAUAUUACCUACAUCUAUACCUGAGGAAACCCUCCUGGGGCUCCUUUGGGACCAUGCCUGGGACCUUCCCCCAAGUAACGUGCCCACCCACCUAUCUUCUGGUGGGGAACAUUGUAAUGCAUUGCUAAAGUCUUUAUAGAGUUGCUAAAGACCCUGGGCGGUCCAUGCUUGCCACUAGGCGUGGGUGGGGUGGUUUAGUUUUCUUUCAUAGAUUCAUACAUGUUAGUGUCGGAAGGGACCUCAAUAGAUCAUAGAGUCCAACCCCCUGCAUAGGCAGGUUCAGAUGACCCCAGCCAAAUGACCAUCUAACCUCCUCUUGAAGACCCCAGGGUAGGGGAGAGCACUACCUCCCUUGGGAGCCCAUUCCAGAUUUUGGCCACUCUUGACUGUGAAGUUCUUCCUAAUGUCCAGUCUAAAUCUGCUCUCUGCUAGCUUAUGGCCAUUAUUUCUUGUGACCCCAGGGGUGCCUUGGUGAGUAGAGCCUCAGCAAUUCCCUUCUGCGCCCCCGUGAUGAAUUUAUAGGCAGCCACAAGGUUGCCUCUCAACCUUCUCUUGCAGAGGCUGAAGAUGUCCAAGUGCCCUAGUCUCUCCUCGUAGGGCUUGGCCUGCAAGCCCUUAACCAUAUGAGUGGCCCUUCUCUGGACCCUCUCCAGGUUAUCCACAUCCCUCUUGAAGUGUGGUGCCCAAAACUGCAGUAUUCCAACUGCGGUCUGAUCAGUGCCCGAUAAAGGCGAAGUAUCACCUCCUUGGUUCUGUUUGUCAUGCAUCUGCUGAUGCAUGAUAAAGUGCCGCUCGGUUUGCUGAUGUCCUCGUCACACUGAUGACUCACGUUCAUCUUGGAGUCCACUAGGACUCCGAGAUCCCUUUCCACUUCCGUGCUACUGAGCAGGUAAUUUCGUAGGCAAUAGGUGUGCUGGACAUUUUUCCUCCCUAGGUGCAGCACUUUGCAUUUUUCCUUGUUAAAUUGCAUUCUAUUGUUUUCUGCCCAUUUGUCCAACCUGUCCAGGUCUGCCUGUAGUUGUUCCCUGCCCUCUGGUGUGUCCACUUCUCCCCACAGUUUUGUAUCAUCCGCAAACUUGGACAGAGUACACUUCACUCCCUCGUCCAAGUCACUGAUGAAGACAUUGAAGAGUAUCAGUCCAAGGACUGAGCCCUGCUGGACCCCACUGCCCACGCCAUUCCAGGUCGAUACCGACCCAUCCAGCACCACUCUCUGGGUAUGACCCUCUAGUCAAUUUGCCACCCACCAGACUGUGUAAUCAUCCAAGUCACAGCCUCUUAAUUUGUUCACCAGUAUGGGGUAGGUAUUGAAGGCCUUCCUGAAGUCUAAGUAAACGAUGUCUACCCCUACUCCUGCGUCCAGGUGUUUUGUAACCUGGUCAUAAAAAGAGACUAGAUUAGUCAGGCAUGAUCUACCUGCUACAAAUCCAUGCUGGUUUCCCCUCAGCAUAAUUUUUCCUGCUGGGCUCUCACAUAUAUGAGCCUUAAUAAUCUUUUCAAAGACUUUGCCAAAGAUGGAGGUGAGACCGACUGGCCUAUAAUUGCCUGGAUCCUUCUUCUUCCCCUUCUUGAAAAUAGGGACCACAUUGCCCCUCUUCCAGUCCUCUGGGACCUGGCCCGUGCACCACGAGUGCUCAAAUAUUCUUGCCAGUGGCUGUGCAACGACAUCAGCCAGUGCCUUCAGUACUCUCGGAUGGAGCUCAUCCAGGCCUGCCGACUUAAACGCAUCCAGUCCUUCCAAGUGACUCUGCAACAUCUCAGGAUCAACGCUUGGUAGUCUGACACCGUGCUGUUGCCUCUCUAAAAUCCCAUUGUGAGACUUGUCUUGCCCCUCAUUUAGGAACACUAAGGCAAAGAACUCACUGAGGAGUUCAGCCUUGUCCCCCGUCUGUCACCAAUUGCUUCUGCCCAUUCAGUAGUGGUCCUAUACCGCCCUGGGCCUUCCUUUUACUCCCUAUAUAUCUGAAAAACAAUUUUUUGUUAUCCUUAAGUUGGGAU